rnacentral:rRNA from 1 species
GGUGAGUAACACGUGGAUAACCUACCUAUAAGACUGGGAUAACUUCGGGAAACCGGAGCUAAUACCGGAUAAUAUUUUAAACCGCAUGGUUCAAAAGUGAAAGACGGUCUUGCUGUCACUUAUAGAUGGAUCCGCGCUGCAUUAGCUAGUUGGUAAGGUAACGGCUUACCAAGGCAACGAUGCAUAGCAGACCUGAGAGGGUGAUCGGCCACACUGGAACUGAGACACGGUCCAG